UACGUAGGGUGCGAGCGUUAAUCGGAAUUACUGGGCGUAAAGCGUGCGCAGGCGGUUCGUUGUGUCGGCGGUGAAAGCCCCGGGCUCAACCUGGGAAUGGCCGUUGAAACUGGCGAACUGGAAUGUGGCAGAGGGGGGUGGAAUUCCACGUGUAGCAGUGAAAUGCGUAGAGAUGUGGAGGAACACCGAUGGCGAAGGCAGCCCCCUGGGUUAACACUGACGCUCAGGCACGAAAGCGUGGGGAGCAAACAGG
rnacentral:rRNA from 1 species